AUAGGUACCUGUAUUCUGCACGGACUGCUGGGCAGCACUGACACUCUGGAGGAGACCUGCCUCUGUCUGCGCUUUCCUGGUUCUGUGUAGGCAGAUGCAUGCUACAGCUGGAACUGAGGCACAGAGCAAUAAACACAGUGGAGCCACUUUCCACGAUGGCAGGAGGAGGACCAGAGGUGACAACAAUACCAAGGACCCGAGGACCAUCCUCCUGACAAGUUUUUGCACUGACUAUCUGCAGGAAAAAUGGGUUCCAUAAGAAGUGGCAUUCUCCUCCAAUUCCAAGGUAUCUGACGGCCAGUAUCUCCUGAUAUGUGAUCCCCAGGCUGAUGGAGUGACUGUCUGCAGGGACUAUAUUCAGAAAUGCCCCAUGGAGUCUGCCCAGGGGGAAGCAAAUACCUAUGAGGUUUAAACCAGAAGGAAGCAGAGGCUGUUUCUACAGGUGUCACAGAAAAAUCAUUACUGACCCACGGAUUAUUGGAUCGUAUAGAACCAUGGAGACUUGGUGGUGAAAUUCUUCUAGAGAUUUCGCAAAAAUGAAAAGCUAUACAUAACACAUUGGUUGUUUUACCACAUUGCUUAGCAUUCCACCCAUGCAGGCAGAUGUGUUCCUAGGUUGGGAAGUGUAAAUCCCAGGGGAAGCAAGCUGAAGAGUAUUUUAUGCACUAUUCAUCCUAUUAUGAGGCUGCUCUGUGCCAUCUCUCUACAAGACUGACUGAACCAACAAUAAAAUCAUUAACAAUUUGCACUCUAACUUUGGAUCAUCUAGUUAACCCUCUGACUCUGAUUACCCAAAAGACAAUGUUCUGUAAGAAAAACUAUCUGUUAGAAGCUGCUAUUGCAUUAUUAAUAAAAUUACAGGAAAAAUGCAACAUUCUGGAUAUCCCAUCUGAUGAGUUGGCAGUUAAGGAACAAAAACAGAGCAAUAAGACUGCAUGGCCACCUUUUCCCAGUGCCACCAACUGGGAGUUAAGCUGACUAACAUUUUGAAAGCCCAGCCCAUUUCGUUCACAGCAGGCAUGGAAGGUAAAAGCAUUUUUAUAUUAAAGAACAGACUUUGUUUCUUCAGGUUCUUGGUCUAGUUUCUCUUGCUUGCCAGUUGGGGAGGAAAAACGAAAGUAGGUUGGGGAACAAAUACCUGGGGUAUUUAAUCAAAUACCCAGCAACUCUUUGAUGCAGAAAUUUCACUUUCGAGGAUUAACUAUGGUGGAUUUUUGUCAAUCCAAAUGGAUAUUCCCUUCAACCCAGCCUGCUAUUGGGCUACAUCCUUCCCCUGCCUAAGUAAGAUUCAGCGGAAGAAUUCCAAAGAGUUUUAAUAAUAGCUCCUGGGUUACCAGAAACUAAAGAUGUAGCAUGAAAAUUUCCAUCAAAUAUAGAUAUUUAUGAAGUUCCUCAAACAACACAUUUUACAAGCUCUUUUUUGCUUCUGUUAGAACAAGAAAUUGAGAAUUGAUUUCACUGUGUUCUGUUAAUUUGCUUACUAUUUUCUAAGUGGUAAGUAUAAACCUCCUUAAUUAUUUUAUGAAACUUAAGUUAAUUCACAAAUAUCCUAAAGUACAUCCCUAUAUUGAUCCUUGACUUUUUGACCUGUUACUCUACCAGAUUGGAUGCCUUUUUCUCACGUUCUUUCCAAGGAGAGCUUAGGGAACAGAAAGAGAGAAAUCAAGAUGAAUAAUGUAAUAAUAACAGUUUGCAUUCCUAUUGAAUGUAUUUUAAAGUAAGCUUAAGAUUACUAUACAAGAGUCAAUUAAGAGCAAUGAAUGUUAUAAAUAUUUAAUAUUACAAGACUAAAUUUCUAAGAAGUGUCAGAUUAUUGAAAAAUUCAAAAUAUUCUUCAGUUAGUGCCCAUAUGCCAUAUGUUGAAAUUAAUUUUUAUAAAGCCUCUUAUUUCACUGGAGUUGGAACCUAAAUGCACACUAUCUUACCAUAGAAUGUAACUUUAUAGUUUGUUUUGUGUUAAUUAAUAUGGCAUUCUCUGGAUAUUUUUAUCAAACAGGAUCAAAAGCUGAUAAACAAUAGAAAAUAAAAUAACAUUUUCUUUGAAGUUUUAGCAAAAUGUAUAACAAACACAAAUAACUAAAAGCCAGUGAAUGCCUGUGCCCUGUCUGUAUAUAGAACCUUUUUAAAAGUAUGAGGUUCCCUGUUAUUUUAACAGUUAGACAAAUUCUUUAGCCAAUGUAGUUUCAAGUUGACGAAGAUUUUCUACUUAUAAAUGUCCCGUGGGGCCCAUGAGGAAUCUCAGAUACUCAUUUCUUUUCUCAAGAAAGUUUCAGAGUCAAUAAGUCCAAAAUUUUUCAGUUACCUGGACUUCUCUGCUUGACUCAAGCAGCACUGCUGUGGAUACAGCCAGAUUCUUUCAAAAGCUCGACACGGCUGAUCUCCAUUGCACUUAAGAGCACUACAAGACCUGGUUUCUACUAGCACAGACCUUACCUGUUUAAUUAGCAUUUUUUGAUUUUCAAAACCCUUCUGCAGGUUAAUAGUGGUUGGAGGAAGGAGCAAAAGUGUGAGGGAUGAGGACUAUUUUGUGUGUCUCUUUUCCUAAGUUGGUAAAUGAAAAAAUGUUGGCAAAUAAAAUGUCUUUGUUGUUGGAUUCAAUAAUUGCAUGAACUGUGAGUUGCAAUAUAUUGUCACAGGAAGGACAGAGGGAAGAAGGAAGUUAUCCUUCAGCCAUUGUGAGUUUUAGGGGUCUCCAAUGUUGUCUGUUAAUAGACUAAAGAGAAGAAUACACCAUUUCUCGCUAAUACAACAAAAAGAAUUCAUUUUUAAAUAUGAAUGUUGAUGAUCCAUGAUCUCGUUUAAUGGGUACAAACACAUAUUCAUAGGCAUAGACUUGUCCAGACCUUUAAACUGAGUAAUAAAAAUGGUAGCGAUGAGAAAAAGGACACCCCAAGCCGUCUGAGGUGGGAGCGGCUGUUGCCAAAACAGGUAUCAAGGCAAGUGCAUUUUUAAUUCGAAGUUUUGAGUUGAGCUUAGAAAUUCACACACAUUUUACAUUCAGUUCCAAUAUGUAUCAUACUUAGUUCAUUAUUGAAAGAGUUUUAAUUUGCUUACCUUUGAGUACAACUGCUGUUUGAGAUGGGUGUGCCACCUUUGCCAUUUAUGGCUCAGAGCAUUCAUUCCUAAGUAACACCAGCUCAGAGAAUUUCUUAAGCUUCUACCAGGAUUACUUACUACUCAUCCCAGUGCUCUCACAUGUUCUGGAUCCUCCUAUUCAAGUUUGAAAAGCACAGAAAUAGGGAAAUGUAAGGGGAGCUAGAUGAACUGGCACUCUACAGGUGACCUGUAAAUUACCAUAAUUAUUUGAUAUCUUCAUAUUUGAAGGACUAGAUGUUGACCAUCAUUGUCAGAAUUUAGCAAAAAGCCCCAUCAAAUUUGUUAAUUUUUCUGACCCUCUAAGCAAGUCUUUAAAUUUUAGAAAGUUUCAUUUUCUUUGUUUUCAGAGAUAUAGAAGAUUUGUCUUUGUUUUCCAUUUCUACUUUUGCCUGAGGCUCCCCCCAUUAAGAUUUAAACCCUUUCCCUCCUUGGCUCCCAUCUUUUCUGAGCAUAAGCCUACUGUCUUUUUUCCUUCUCAGCCCUGUUUUUAUGUAUGUGGUGUUAGUUAAGUCAGAAGAUUAACAGCUCAGAGGCUAAGGAGCUCUAAUUUCUUUGCUACAGGGUCUAGAAUAUUGGUGUGUGUGUGUGUGAUGAAAACAUUGCAGCUUAAGUAUAGUGUGCGCACGUAGUGAUUAAGCUGGAAUUGGAUUGACUGGUUUCAAUUUCUGCUCCCCCACUUACUAACUGCAUAAACCGUUUCUAUCCCUCAUCUUUCGCUAUAAAAUGUGGAAAGCAAUCAUACCCACUCCCAAUGGGUUGCUGUAAAGAUGAAACAGAGAAAUGAGUAUAAAGCUGGGGGGGGGCGGGUGGAGGCUUGGCAUAUGCUAAGAGACCAGUAAAUAUUACCAGUGAUCUUUAGCAUUACAAUUAUUUAUUACAGGUCAGAGCAAUACUUACAUGCCCCAUAUACACAGUUUUUCCAUAUGAUGCAUGAUUCAGAGAAAUACGGCUAAACUUGGGCACAAUUGUAAAAGGGCAAUAUCUGCUCUCAGCAUUGCCAGCUUUUAUUGAGAAUUUGCACAUUCUCUUUUUACUCCCAUUGAAUGCAUAGGAGCCUGCCUCUCUUCUUCCCUUGGCUGGUUCAACCAGCUUUCAAGAAGGACCUGAAAUUUAUCCACACGAAGUUCUGAGUGACUGAGAACAUUUUGGGGUGUUGUUCUUGUAAAGGUCACUGACCUCUUAUCCAGGGUCAAAUACUGAACUGAUGAGAUUUAAGCAUCCCCAAAGCAGCUGGAGAAAUUUGAGUGUGAUCCGCCCCUUAUCUUCUGUGGCUGUCCCCAGAGUGGGAAUGGUUAACUGGGCCAAGGGUAAGGUUAGUUCUGCUGAAGCUGCCUGCUGGGGCUCUCCUGGGGGUUGUCUGACAUCCUCAAAGGCUUCCUCUCUCUCUAAGCCUAGAGCCAUUUGGGAAUGUCUGUCAGCUUUUCCAUUUUCUUGCCCACAUGUCUGUGAGUCUUGAAUAUAGUUUGCAUUAAACCACAAGCUGUAGCCCUUUGAACAUUGUUUCCUAAUAUUCUUCCUUAUUUUUGGAUAUACAUCCAUU